GACGAACGCUGGCGGCGUGCUUAACACAUGCAAGUCGAACGGAAAGGUCCUGCUUUUGUGGGGUGCUCGAGUGGCGAACGGGUGAGUAACCCGUGAGUAACCUGCCCUUGACUUUGGGAUAACUUCAGGAAACUGGGGCUCAUACCGGCUAGGAGCUCCUGCUGCUUGGUGGGGGUUGGAUAGUUUCGGCGGUUGGGGAUGGACUCGCGGCUUAUCAGCUUGUUGGUGGGGUAGUGGCUUACCAAGGCUUUGACGGGUAGCCGGCCUGAGCGGGGCACCGGCCAAAUUAGGACUGAGAUACGACCCAGACUAGUACGGGAGGCAGCAGUGGAGAAGAUUGCACAGUGGGCGGGAGCAUGAUGUAGCAAAGCAGCGUGCGGGAUGAGGGGCUGGGGGUUGUAAACCGAUGUCGCCUGUGACGAAGCGUGAGUGACGGUAAUGGGUAAAGAAGCACCGGCUAACUACGUG
rnacentral:rRNA from 1 species